CUAAUACUCCCUCCGUCCCAAAAUUCUUGUCUUAGAUUUGUCUAAAUGCGGAUGUAUCUAGUUACGUUUUAGUGUUAGAUACAUCCGUAUCUAGACAAAUCUAAGACAAGAAUUUUGGGACGGAGGGAGUACUUA
rnacentral:pre_miRNA from 1 species